rnacentral:rRNA from 1 species
GUGGGGAAUUUUGGACAAUGGGGGCAACCCUGAUCCAGCAAUGCCGCGUGAGUGAAGAAGGCCUUCGGGUUGUAAAGCUCUUUUGUCAGGGAAGAAAAGGGACUGGCUAAUAUCUGGUCCUCAUGACGGUACCUGAAGAAUAAGCACCGGCUAACUACGUGCCAGCAGCCGCGGUAAUACGUAGGGUGCAAGCGUUAAUCGGAAUUACUGGGCGUAAAGCGUGCGCAGGCGGUUUUGUAAGACUGUCGUGAAAUCCCCGGGCUCAACCUGGGAAUGGCGAUGGUGACUGCAAGGCUAGAGUUUGGCAGAGGGGGGUAGAAUUCCACGUGUAGCAGUGAAAUGCGUAGAUAUGUGGAGGAACACCGAUGGCGAAGGCAGCCCCCUGGGUCAAAACUGACGCUCAUGCACGAAAGCGUGGGGAGCAAACAGG